rfam:Alcaligenes sp. EGD-AK7 Contig1, whole genome shotgun sequence.
GCCUGCGGCACGGGGUGUCCUUCUUGGGAAGGGCUGAGAUAAAACCCGUCGAACCUGAUCCAGCUCAUACUGGCGAAGGGAUGUCCGAAUCCAUGGCC